CGUAGGAGGCGAGCGUUGUCCGGAUUCAUUGGGCGUAAAGAGCACGCAGGCGGUUUGGCAAGUCGGAUGUGAAAACCCGGAGCUCAACUCCGGACCUGCAUCCGAAACUGCCCGACUAGAGGUAGGUAGGGGAGAUCGGAAUUCCUGGUGUAGCGGUGAAAUGCGCAGAUAUCAGGAGGAACACCGGUGGCGAAGGCGGAUCUCUGGGCCUUACCUGACGCUCAGGUGCGAAAGCUAGGGGAGCGAACAGG
rnacentral:rRNA from 1 species